AAGGAAGGUAUUGUGUAUACUGGCUUUGUGCUUCCUAAUGCGUUAAUGCCAAAAGUGUUUUCUGCAACAUCGAUUCGUGGGGGGAAUUGGCGAUCGGGUCUCUGUUUAUUAUUUUCAUCAGAUCAUUUACAAUCAGUUUCCCUACAUUC
rnacentral:snoRNA from 1 species